GCAGGCGGCCGGAUGAUCGCUGCCUCCCGCGGCUUGCUGUCGGGAGGGGGAGGAAAGUCCGAACUCCGCAGGGCAGUGUGCCGGAUAACGUCCGGGACCCAUGCGUCAAGGCAUGGGGACGGCCAGUGCAACAGAAAGCAAACCGCCUCAGGCUGUUGAGCGGGCUUCGCAAGAGGCACGUUCAUGCAAGCGGUCUGCGGUAAGGGUGAAAGGGUGGGGUAAGAGCCCACCGCGUUCGCAGUAAUGCAAACGGCACGGUAAACCCCACACGGAGCAAGACCAAAUAGGCAGGGAGACAGCCGACCCUCUUCAGUCGGCAGUCGCGCAACGGCCCGUUGCGCCCAGGUUGAAGGGCAAGAGCGUGCGCAAGCAUGCUGACCGGAACCUGCGGGUAGGUUGCUGGAGCGCCGCAGUAAUGCGUCGCCUAGAGGAAUGAUCGUCUAAAACAAAAUUCGGCUUACGGGCCGCCUGCACAG
rnacentral:RNase_P_RNA from 3 species